rnacentral:lncRNA from 1 species
GUCACUCAUGCUAGGAAUUGAACUUAACGCGAUCGUUUAUAAGCAACCUCUACUACUUAUGAAUAUAAGUUUGUAACGAUUAUGUGAAACUUUCUUAUAUUCUAGCAUCGGAUUUAUGCAUGCCAAUUAAGUGUCGACCAUUAAUCAACAAAUACAAAUAGGUUAUCAAUCAAAUAGUUAAGCUAAUUGCAUUCACGAUUCAAGAGUUCAUAAUUGGAAUUUAUCAAAUUAUAUUGCAAUAAACAUAGUCAUGGCUUUGAAAUCACCCCUAGCCAAGAGGGGUUUAGCUACUCAUAUUUACAAAAAAAUGAAAGGAAAUGAAUUUAAACAUUAGAAACAAAGGAAAGAAAACACCUAAACGCUCCAACGAUCCAAGUUGGAUAGCAAGCACGUCCAAACACUUUCCUUCCCUUCCUUUGCUACGGCACAAGGUGUUGGUGAGUGUUUGAAGGUUUGUUUGUAUGGAGGAAUGGAUGUGAAGGUAAAUGGAUGUGUUUGGAUGAAGGUUGUGUUGAAAUGGGAGUGAAUGAUCUAACAAAGUAUCCACUCAAUUUAUGUUACACACACUUUCUUUUAUAGAGGAAGUGCAUGGCAAUGGAGGGGAACAUGGAGUGGUGUAACAAUUGAGUACAAUAAUGCAUGAAAUAUGAAAUGAUGGAGGGAACAAGGAAUGGUGUAGCGAUUGAGUGCAAUGAUUCAAUGUAAUGAUUCAUGAAAUCUGAAAUGAUGGAGGGAACAAGGAAUGGUGUAGCAAUUGAGUGUAAUGAUGCAUGAAAUCUGAAAUGAUAGAGGGAACAAGGAAUGAUGUAGCAAUUAAGUGAAAUGAUUCAAUGUAAUGAUGCAUGAAUCUGAAAUGAUGGAGGGAAUAAGGAAUAGUGUAGCAAUUGAGUGCAAUGAUUCAAUGUAAUGAUGCAUGAAAUCUGAAAUGAUGGAGGGAAUAAGGAAUGGUGUAGCAAUUGAGUGCAAUGAUUCAAUGUAAUGAUGCAUGAAAUCUGAAAUAAUGAAGGUGAAAGGAUAUUGUGCACAUGGUAGACAAAGGAAAUGAAGUGGAAUGAUGCAACGAAUGAGUCAAUGGAGGGAACAUGGAUGAUGAUGCAAGGCAUAGGAAUCCAAAGGGAGUGCAAUGGUGGUGCACGACAAUGAUGGAAAGGUGAAUGGUGGAGUGACACCCCUUUGUGGCUGAGCUCUUUGUCCUUUUUACAUUAAUUCUUCUUUCUUUUUAACACAUUCCUAGCCUCUAUAGUCUUCAAUUUCGUCCAUCCACCUUGCUCCAUGUAUGUGCUAUUCAUUCCAAGCCAAAAAUUGCUCCAAAAUGCACCAAAAUGCAUCUUAUUGCUUUAUAAGGCCUAUGGACCUACAAACACACGAAAAUAGCUUAAAAUACAUAAUUAACUAAGAAAUAACAACGUAAAUGUAUGAGAACAAGCUAACUCAGUCGCAUAAAUAUGCUCCUAUCAAAUUCCCCCACACUUAGCUUUUGCUAGUCCUCGAGCAAAAUAAAACAAACGAAACAAACAAAACACAACCUAGACCUUUGAACAUUUGCCUCAGGGAUUUUUAAUGAAACAUGACAUGUUAAAAAUCAUCAUUCCCACAGAUUUUGGUCAUCUUUACACUUGAGUACAUACUUAAUCACAGUCACCACUUACUAGUUCACAAUUAACCAAUUAGAAUAAUGUUUUGAAUGUAAUAACAUGCCUUAGAGAAUUUGCUCAAUUCCUUACAAGAUACUCUCUAUUUUCACACACAUUUUCUGACUACACACCCUACACUAGUAUAUGUGAGAAGAUUGAUGUAAACACGAAAGACUAGGACUCACAUAUGUUAUAACAAAGAAAGCAAUUUUCUAGAGUUAUUAAGCAUGUUUAGAUAUGAUCUCAUGAAUGGAAUGCUACUACUUAGAUGCGACAACCAGUGACACCAUAUGCUCAUACCAAUUUUGAACUCCACAAAUUGAAACACUCAAGAUUGAAGUCAAGGGUUGUAACAGGGCUUGGGGGUAUUGGCUAACAAAGAAAGGAUAGGGAUACCAAACAUUCUUAAAGCGAUAGCAAGCAAAGCAAUGAAAUAGACACUUGGAAAUCACUUUAGAAUGCAGAAUCAACUUUUAAAUGCAAAGGGAAGAUUCAUGCAACACUUAGGGCCGAAUUCAAUGUUUUGGACCCUUGUUUAACAAACAACACUUUAGAGCUCUCUUUCAUACUCUUUUCAAUUCUUUUUUUUUCUUUUCUACCCGUGCCUUAUUAAGGACUUUGGCACACACACACACACAAGAAUCACUUCCCCCACGCUUUCUGCAAUACAUUGAUAAAAAAGGAGUUCAUUUUAAGUCUUGUUUUACUAUGCUUCAAGAACAAGGGUAUGGAUGAUCCUAAAACUAGGCUAGGUAAGGAUAGUAUGGGUUAACAAAGAACAUAGGCUUAACAAGGCUCAACGGGGUUAAACUUAAACAUAUAAUGGAAUAGGGGCACGGCAAUUUGGCUUUGGUGGUCACUACAUAACUUCAUCUUGAAUAUGUGUUAUGCAAAUCAAUAGCAUGCUUUGAAUGAAAUAGGCAUGAGUUCUAGCAUUUGGAACUAAAUGAUGAAAUGCCUUCUAAGUAGCAACCAAGCAAAGAAUAAUGAAACCAUGCAACGACUUUAGAACAUAAUGGUGCACAUAUUAUUAACUCUCCAAAUAAACGUUUUAGGCUCAAGUCUCACAAGGUUGUAGCAUUCAUUUGAGUUCCUUCCUUCAAGCAUGUUACAAAAACUGAAUUUUCCUUUAUGAUUGCAUGUGAAUUUAUAAAUUAUAACCACAACCAAGCAUAUACCACAGAGUAAAUCAAAUUUUCAUCCAUGUUUAUAGCUCUCUUUAACAGUCAUGUAAUAAAAAAUCAAAUCGUCAUCAUUGUGUUGGAAGGUACCCUAAGACACAAACAAACACAUAAAAACAACUUUUUUUGGGUUUUUCAAAACAAUUUUUGAAAUUUUUAUGAGAUUUUCGGAUUUUUAUGUCAAAACACACUAAAACACUCCAAAACAGCUUAAAAACAUCAAGGAACAACACUAGAAGUAAUGGGUGAUAAACUCCUACAAAUUUCAUGCAAAACAACUUGGUUACCCCCCCCCCCACACUUAAAUCAAACAUUGUUCUCAAUGUUUCAAGCAUAAACUCACACAAAAACAAGCAAACGAACAAACAACGAAUAAACAUGACAAGUAUAGCAAAGUAAAAACCAGACAGAGUAGAGUUUAAGAAUGCAAAUCUAGUUUUGGAGAUAGAUGAUCUUGUUGACUUUCCACAGCUUUGAUCUCGAACUGGUUUGGAAUUCUAAGCGAGGAAUAUCAGAGUUCCUUGGUUUCAAAUCAGACUCCUUCUGCUGGGUUGAUUUGAUUGUGUAGUCUGCAUUCUUCUCUGCUUGUUUCUUCUGCACGGCAGGCAAGCACGAGGUAGAGGUGAUGGUCUGUUUCUUUUUUCAAUCUUUCCAAGUGCCCACCAUUUGCUUUCUUUCUCCUUGUCCCUAGCUAAGGAUGAAUUAGCACAUUGUUUCCACAUUCUUCGAGGUAUCAUUUUCACUUCCUUUAUCUGUUCCCCAGGCAGAUGUGGUAGACGAAAAGGAAGCAUAAGAUGUUGAAAAUGAGUACUCGAGAGCAAGGCUAGGUAAGCAAUCAGGAAGGGGUUCCAAGCAGUCGGUUCCAGAUCGGAAGAUUGAUACCAAGUGCUGGCUGAUUGCUCUCUUUCUCAUUAUCCCGCAGAUGAAAACAACGACAAGGAGAAUGAAAGGGAAAAAGCAUGAUAUGAGAUACUCUUGCUUUCAACCUUCAUGAUAUGAAAUACUUUUGCUUUGGAUGAGUUGUUUGCAGAGGUACCCCAAGGAAUAAGGAACACUGAGUGACUCGAGAGGCUUCGUUGGGAAGGCAUUCUCGGAGAUGAAGAAAGGUUAUGUAUGUCUGCCUUGCAAUGGAGGGUGAAGGUUGACAUUUAUAGGAAUUAAUAACCGGUACUAUUCUUUCACUCUUGUCGGCAACCAUUGGAUGAUUUAACACUAAACUUCACAUGCUUUCUACUUCACAAGAAAUCUUCGACAGAAUACCCGUAAUUUCCGCAAGGCUGAGUGUGCAUGUGACAAGUGCUGACAUGUCUGGAAAAGCAAGUGCCUCUUCGAUAUCUGGAAUCGGUGCUUCGACAAACUGCCCGUGAUUUUCAUAAAGUUGAGUGUGCACGUGACAGAUGCUGACACGUCUGGAAAAGUAGAUGCCUUUCUGAUUUCUGAGCUUGCCUCUUCGAGUUCUGAGCUCGCCUCUUCGAGUUCUUAGCUCCGUCGAGUGCAGAGGUUGUAAGUGACAAGUGCUGACAAAUCUGAAAAAGAAGUGGCCCAUGGUUUCUGAGCAAGCCCAACUUUUGAGAAAGCUAGCGCCUUUUCGAUUUUUGAAUUGGCCUCUUCAAUUUCUGAUCUCACCUCUUCAAUCUCUAAAAUCCCGUCAUGUGCUGAUUUUUAUAGAGGCACGCAGUACGUUUCAAAGCACACUUGAAUUUCUGCCUGUAGAAACUCCCUUCUUGCACUUCUAAUAUCUUGACUUGUC